rnacentral:rRNA from 1 species
UACGUAGGGGGCGAGCGUUAUCCGGAAUUAUUGGGCGUAAAGGGCGAGUAGGCGGAUAUUUAAGUCAGGUGUGAAAACCCGGGGCUCAACCCCGGAGUUGCAUCUGAAACUGGGUAUCUUGAGGACAGGAGAGGAAAGUGGAAUUCCUAGUGUAGCGGUGAAAUGCGUAGAUAUUAGGAGGAACACCAGUGGCGAAGGCGACUUUCUGGACUGUAACUGACGCUGAGGCGCGAAAGCGUGGGGAG